GCGAGUGGCGCGGCUACCAUGCAGUCGAGCGGUACAGAUCCAGCUUGCUGGAUGCUGACGAGCGGCGGACGGGUGAGUAAUGCAUAGGAAUCUGCCCGAUAGUGGGGGAUAACCUGGGGAAACCCAGGCUAAUACCGCAUACGUCCUACGGGAGAAAGGGGGCUUCGGCUCCCGCUAUCGGAUGAGCCUAUGUCGGAUUAGCUAGUUGGUGAGGUAACGGCUCACCAAGGCGACGAUCCGUAGCUGGUCUGAGAGGAUGAUCAGCCACAUCGGGACUGAGACACGGCCCGAACUCCUACGGGAGGCAGCAGUGGGGAAUAUUGGACAAUGGGGGGAACCCUGAUCCAGCCAUGCCGCGUGUGUGAAGAAGGCCCUCGGGUUGUAAAGCACUUUCAGCGAGGAAGAACGCCUAGCGGUUAAUACCCGCUAGGAAAGACAUCACUCGCAGAAGAAGCACCGGCUAACUCCGUGCCAGCAGCCGCGGUAAUACGGAGGGUGCAAGCGUUAAUCGGAAUUACUGGGCGUAAAGCGCGCGUAGGUGGCUUGAUAAGCCGGUUGUGAAAGCCCCGGGCUCAACCUGGGAACGGCAUCCGGAACUGUCAAGCUAGAGUGCAGGAGAGGAAGGUAGAAUUCCCGGUGUAGCGGUGAAAUGCGUAGAGAUCGGGAGGAAUACCAGUGGCGAAGGCGGCCUUCUGGACUGACACUGACACUGAGGUGCGAAAGCGUGGGUAGCAAACAGGAUUAGAUACCCUUGGGUAGUCA
rnacentral:rRNA from 1 species